UACGGGGGGGGCAAGCGUUGUUCGGAAUUACUGGGCGUAAAGGGCGCGUAGGCGGUUGGAUAAGUCAGCUGUGAAAACCACGGGCUUAACUCGUGGCCUGCAGUUGAGACUGUCUGGCUUGAGUGUGGGAGAGGAGAGUGGAAUUCCUGGUGUAGCGGUGAAAUGCGUAGAUAUCAGGAGGAACACCAACGGCGAAGGCAGCACUCUGGGCCGGUACUGACGCUGAGGAGCGAAAGCGUGGGGAGCAAACAGG
rnacentral:rRNA from 1 species